rnacentral:lncRNA from 1 species
UCCUUGAAAAUUCACCCUUCGGGAUUCACCUCUCAAAUUUCACCUGUCGGGAUUCACCCUUCAAAAUUCACCUGUCGGGAUUCACCUGUUGGGAUUCACCUGUCAUGAUUCGCCCUUCAGGAUUCGCCCUUCAGGAUUCACCUCCCAAAAUUCACCUGUCAGGAUUCACAUUUCCAAUUUCACCUGUUGGGAUUCGCCCUUCAAAAUUCACCUGUCGGGAUUCGCCCUUCAGGAUUCGCCCUUCAAAAUUCAUCCUUCAGAUUUCACCUCUCAAAUUUCACCUGUCGGGAUUCGCCCUUCAGGAUUUAUCCUUGAAAAUUCACCCUUCGGGAUUCACCUUUCAAAAUUCACCUGUCAGGAUUCACCUUUCAAAUUUCACCUGUCAGGAUUCACCUCCCAAAAUUCACCUGUCAGGAUUCACCUCCCAAAAUUCACCUGUCGGGAUUCACCUCUCAAAAUUCACCUGUCGGGAUUCGCCCUUCAAGAUUCACCUCUCAAAAUUCACCCCUAAAAUUUGA